rnacentral:pre_miRNA from 1 species
UUUGAGGGGGACGUUGGCUGGCUCGAAGCAAUCACAGUUUGCUGUUUACAUUGACGACGUGAAGGCUUCGGACCAGGCUUCGUUCCUCUCAAA